rnacentral:rRNA from 1 species
UCCCUACGGGAGGCAGCAGUGGGGAAUAUUGGGCAAUGGGCGCAAGCCUGACCCGGCAACGCCGCGUGAAGGAAGAAGGCUUUCGGGUUGUAAACUUCUUUUCUUGGGGACGAAGAAAGUGACGGUACCCAAGGGAUAAGCCACGGCUAACUACGUGCCAGCAGCCGCGGUAAUACGUAGGUGGCAAGCGUUAUCCGGAUUUAUUGGGUGUAAAGGGCGUGUAGGCGGGAUUGCAAGUCAGAUGUGAAAACCACGGG